rnacentral:lncRNA from 1 species
CUACCAACCCAAAGAAAUUCAACAAGGUUGGCUACCAAACCAAACUAAUUCAACAAAAUUGGAUACGUAACUAAACCAAGUCAAUAAGGUUGGUUACCAAAUCAAAAAAACUUUUAUUAAGCACAUGCCUAAUACUUCUUUAAUGAGAUGAACAUCAUGCGGAAUUAAUUAAUACAGUGAAAACCCCUUAAACUUGUUAGUGUAUUUGUUUUUAGAUACUCGAUCCCAGGCAUCUAAACACAUCAUAAUAUGUUCAUAUUAGACACUUCUGUCUCAAACUUUGAAAAAGCUUAUGUCUGCUCGUGUUCGCCACGUGGAUAAAUUAACUACUUAAAAUAUAUAUUCCACCUCCUGUAAUUAUACACAUCGGCUAUAAGCAGGUACUAGAACAAACAAACACAAGACAUGUCAUCAGUUAAAAAAGAACCCAAUCAAUUAAAAACAAACUCCUAUUCUGUUAAAUACAUUUGAAGGCUCUCCUUGUUAAAUUGGAAACCAUUUUUCCAAUAUCUUCGCUGGCAAAUUGGAACUCUUUUUUAUGUGUUCAGGUGCUCAACUGGAACAUCUUUAGUUCGAGCACUGUGUAAAUGGAAAUUGUAUGCCUCCAAUUGCAAUGAUUGGAAUCGCACACCAAAUCUUUUGUUAGCAAAUAUUUAUAUGGAAUUAAAUAUUUAUAAUCCUAAUCAUGCAUGGUUAAGACCUGAUUAAUUAAUUAAAUGUAAGCUUGAUAAUAGUACCGGGACAUCAUUAUCCAUCCAAUUUAUAAGAACUUGGAGAAAAUAUUUAUGGAGACAAUAAUAUAGGAAACAAAAAUAAUCGGAUUACAAAAAUUAUACGGUAUUCUGAAUUUACCUAGAGAAAAUUUAAAACGGGCUUCUUUUACUUGUAAACAAUUCGCGACGAGGGUGAUCAAACUAGUUUACUUUAGCAGUGUUUAACAGCAAGUUUACUCGCGUUAAAAAUAUAAUCAAAAAAUAUCAACAGUCCCUGAUAUGAAUUAGCUCGGAGUUCAGUCAACCAUCUAAAUUUGUGAAACAAAAUAAAAACUUUAGAGAGUAAUUAUAAGAUCCUGCACUACAGACAAAAACCAGUAAGAAUAUGACAAGAAAGACAUCUGUUGCAAUCAAAACAACAAAUAAUGUUUUUGUACAGUUGUUUAGUGAAACCAACAAGAUAUGCUGCAAGAAUAAUAUGGAGAAUAAUUUGCUGUAUAGCUAGUUAUCCAAUAAAAAUUGUGAACGAUGAAUUAGUUAGAAUUUUUUGAUAAGCAUGAAUGAUGACAAAGAAUUACUGCCAGAAAACAAAUAUUAAGCUUUAAACCUACAACAAUACAUAGCAGGAAAUCAUGUCAAAGUUAUAUUAAGUGAUACUCCAUAUAUAUAUGUGACUACAAGGAAAUUCUUCUGGCAAUAGCUAGCUAGUUUCUUUUACGAAGUAAUUAGUUCCAAUGAGAAAUUGUUACCUAGCUAAAAGCUACUCCUAUUUUUACUGUAAAAUUCAUCUAGUACUUCAUUCAACAAAGUUAUAUAUAAAUUGAUUGCUGCGUCUCUCUCCUCCCGUCGGCCAUAAUAUUAAACUUUAAACCUACAACAAUACAUAGCAGGAAAUCAUGUCAAAGUUAUAUUAAAUGAUACUCCAUAUAUAUAUGUGACUACAAGGAAAUUCUUCUGGCAAUAGCUAGCUAGUUUCUUUUACGAAGUAAUUAGUUCCAAUGAGAAAUUGUUACCUAGCUAAAAGCUACUCCUAUUUUUACUGUAAAAUUCAUCUAGUACUUCAUUCAACAAAGUUAUAUAUAAAUUGAUUGCUGCGUGUCUCAACCUAGUAAAAAUAUAGCGAACCUUCUCUUCGGGAUGAUCAGGAUUAGCUUCAAAUAUUUCCCAUGGUGGUUGGUCUCCAUAGAUAUCGGCAAAUUGGAAAUUAUGGCAUUCACUCUGCAAAAGUGUUGGGUAUUAUGAAUGAAUGGUGGAGACAAGAAAAUUAAAUGAGAGAAAGGGUAGGAAAACUUUAUGAAAUUGUGAAAUUAUUUUUUUU